rnacentral:rRNA from 1 species
GAUGAACGCUGGCAGAAUGCUUAACACAUGCAAGUCUUUGGCGAAGCUGUGCUUGCACAGCCUAGCCAAGGCGGACGGGUGAGUAACGCGUAAGGAACUUGCCCUGCAGUCAGGGAUAACAGACGGAAACGACUGAUAAGACCUGGUAAAGUCAGGCGGACUCAUGUCCAGCCUGAUGAAAAGAGAUGCUGCAGGAGAGCCUUGCGUCCUAUUAGCUUGUUGGUGGGGUAACGGCCCACCAAGGCGAUGAUAGGUAGCCGGCCUGAGAGGGUGGACGGCCACAAGGGGACUGAGAUACGGCGCUUACUACUACGGGAGGCGGCAGUGGGGAAUAUUGGACAAUGGGGGCAACCAUGAUCCAGCAAUUCUGUGUGCACGAUGAAGGUUUUCGGAUUGUAAAGUGCUUUCAGCAGGGAAGAAAAAAAUGACGGUACCUGCAGAAGAAGCGACGGCUAAAUACGUG